AUGGGGUGACUGCGUACCUUUUGUAUAAUGGGUCAGCGACUUAUAUUCUGUAGCAAGGUUAACCGAAUAGGGGAGCCGAAGGGAAACCGAGUCUUAACUGGGCGUUAAGUUGCAGGGUAUAGACCCGAAACCCGGUGAUCUAGCCAUGGGCAGGUUGAAGGUUGGGUAACACUAACUGGAGGACCGAACCGACUAAUGUUGAAAAAUUAGCGGAUGACUUGUGGCUGGGGGUGAAAGGCCAAUCAAACCGGGAGAUAGCUGGUUCUCCCCGAAAGCUAUUUAGGUAGCGCCUCGUGAAUUCAUCUCCGGGGGUAGAGCACUGUUUCGGCAAGGGGGUCAUCCCGACUUACCAACCCGAUGCAAACUGCGAAUACCGGAGAAUGUUAUCACGGGAGACACACGGCGGGUGCUAACGUCCGUCGUGAAGAGGGAAACAACCCAGACCGCCAGCUAAGGUCCCAAAGUCAUGGUUAAGUGGGAAACGAUGUGGGAAGGCCCAGACAGCCAGGAUGUUGGCUUAGAAGCAGCCAUCAUUUAAAGAAAGCGUAAUAGCUCACUGGUCGAGUCGGCCUGCGCGGAAGAUGUAACGGGGCUAAACCAUGCACCGAAGCUGCGGCAGCGACACUAUGUGUUGUUGGGUAGGGGAGCGUUCUGUAAGCCUGUGAAGGUGUACUGUGAGGUAUGCUGGAGGUAUCAGAAGUGCGAAUGCUGACAUAAGUAACGAUAAAGCGGGUGAAAAGCCCGCUCGCCGGAAGACCAAGGGUUCCUGUCCAACGUUAAUCGGGGCAGGGUGAGUCGACCCCUAAGGCGAGGCCGAAAGGCGUAGUCGAUGGGAAACAGGUUAAUAUUCCUGUACUUGGUGUUACUGCGAAGGGGGGACGGAGAAGGCUAUGUUGGCCGGGCGACGGUUGUCCCGGUUUAAGCGUGUAGGCUGGUUUUCCAGGCAAAUCCGGAAAAUCAAGGCUGAGGCGUGAUGACGAGGCACUACGGUGCUGAAGCAACAAAUGCCCUGCUUCCAGGAAAAGCCUCUAAGCAUCAGGUAACAUCAAAUCGUACCCCAAACCGACACAGGUGGUCAGGUAGAGAAUACCAAGGCGCUUGAGAGAACUCGGGUGAAGGAACUAGGCAAAAUGGUGCCGUAACUUCGGGAGAAGGCACGCUGAUAUGUAGGUGAAGUCCCUCGCGGAUGGAGCUGAAAUCAGUCGAAGAUACCAGCUGGCUGCAACUGUUUAUUAAAAACACAGCACUGUGCAAACACGAAAGU
rnacentral:rRNA from 1 species